GAUGAAUGCUAGCGGCAGGCUUAACACAUGCAAGUCGAGGGGUAUUAGUUUUCGGACUAAGAGACCGGCGCACGGGUGCGUAACGCGUAUGCAAUCUGCCUUUCACAGAGGGAUAGCCCAGAGAAAUUUGGAUUAAUACCUCAUAGUAUUAUAGACUGGCAACGGUUUAUAAUUAAAGUCACAACGGUGAAAGAUGAGCAUGCGUCCCAUUAGCUAGUUGGUAAGGUAACGGCUUACCAAGGCGACGAUGGGUAGGGGUCCUGAGAGGGAGAUCCCCCACACUGGUACUGAGACACGGACCAGACUCCUACGGGAGGCAGCAGUGAGGAAUAUUGGUCAAUGGACGCAAGUCUGAACCAGCCAUGCCGCGUGCAGGAUGACGGUCCUAUGGAUUGUAAACUGCUUUUGUACGAGAAGAAACACUCCUACGUGUAGGAGCUUGACGGUAUCGUAAGAAUAAGGAUCGGCUAACUCCGUGCCAGCAGCCGCAGUAAGAC
rnacentral:rRNA from 1 species